rnacentral:rRNA from 1 species
UAUGUAGGCAGCGAGCGUUGUUCGGAGUUACUGGGCGUAAAGGGUGUGUAGGCGGUUGCUUAAGUUUGGUGUGAAAUCUCCCGGCUCAACUGGGAGGGUGCGCCGAAUACUGAGUGACUCGAGUGCGGGAGAGGAGAGUGGAAUUCCUGGUGUAGCGGUGAAAUGCGUAGAUAUCAGGAGGAACACCGGUGGUGUAGACGGCUCUCUGGACCGUAACUGACGCUGAGACACGAAAGCGUGGGUAGCAAACAGG